UACGUAGGGGGCAAGCGUUGUCCGGAUUUAUUGGGCGUAAAGAGCGUGUAGGCGGCUAGGUAGGUCCGUUGUGAAAACUCGAGGCUCAACCUCGAGACGCCGAUGGAAACCAUCUGGCUAGAGUCCGGAAGAGGAGAGUGGAAUUCCUGGUGUAGCGGUGAAAUGCGCAGAUAUCAGGAAGAACACCGAUGGCGAAGGCAGGUCUCUGGGCCACUACUGACGCUGAGAAGCGAAAGCAUGGGGAGCGAACAGG
rnacentral:rRNA from 1 species